rnacentral:rRNA from 1 species
CCGGAGAUAGCUGGUUCUCCUCGAAAUAGCUUUAGGGCUAGCCUCAUACAAGUCUUGCGGAGGUAGAGCACUGAAUUCCUACGGGGGCGUCAAAGCUUACCAAGGGAUAUCAAACUCCGAAUGCCGUGUAGAUGAUGUAUGGGAGUCAGACUAUCCGAGAUAAGUUGGGUAGUCGAAAGGGAAAGAGCCCAGACCUGCAGCUAAGGCCCCAAAAUGUGUGUUAAGUGGAAAAGGAUGUGGGAUUUCGAAGACAACUAGGAUGUUGGCUUAGAAGCAGCCAUCCAUUAAAAGAGUGCGUAAUAGCUCACUAGUCGAGAGGUCCUGCGCCGAAAAUGUCCGGGGCUGAAACACGACACCGAAGCUCAGGAAUCGUUUAGACGAUUGGUAGAGGAGCAUUGUUAAUGCGGCGAAGCUGUACCGGAAGGAGCAGUGGAGCAUUAAGAAGAGAGAAUGCCGGAAUGAGUAGCGAGAUGGAGGUGGGAAUCCUCCAGGCCGAAUAUCCAAGGAUUCCGGGGUAAAGCUGAUCUGCCCCGGGUAAGUCGGGGCCUAAGGCGAGGCAGAGAUGCGUAGCCGAUGGACAACAGGUGGAGAUUCCUGUACUGCGUAGUAACAGAACUGUGGGGACGCAUGUGUGAGAUCCAAGCCGGGAAAGGAGAGCCCGGCCCAAGCAUGGGAGGAGUCAUGAAGGAAAAACCGCAUGGCAAUCCAAACAUGUGAUGGGGACCGAAGAAGAGUAGGGAAGAGGAUGAGACAUGUGCCAAGAAAAGCCGCUAUUGUUUGCUGCGUACCCGUACCGUAAACCGACACAGGUGGAUGAGGAGAGAAUCCUAAGGCCGGCGGAAGAAGUAUUGCCAAGGAACUCGGCAAAAUGGCCCCGUAACUUAGGGAGAAGGGGUGCCUGCGAGAGCAGGCCGCAGAGAAUAGGCUCAAGCAACUGUUUAGCAAAAACACAGGUCUAUGCGAAACCGAAAGGUGAGGUAUAUGGGCUGACGCCUGCCCGGUGCUGGAAGGUUAAGAGGAGAGGUUAGACGCAAGUCGAAGCUUUGAAUUUAAGCCCCAGUAAACGGCGGCCGUAACUAUAACGGUCCUAAGGUAGCGAAAUUCCUUGUCGGGUAAGUUCCGACCCGCACGAAAGGCGUAAUGAUUUGAGCGCUGUCUCGGCAAUACAUCCGGUGAAAUUGAAGUGCCAGUGAAGAUGCUGGCUACCCGCGCCAGGACGGAAAGACCCCAUGGAGCUUUACUCCAGUUUGGCACUGGGGUCCGGUGUUGCAUGUACAGGAUAGGUGGGAGGCUGAGAGAUAGUGACGUCAGUUGCUAUGGAGCCGCUGUUGGGAUACCACCCUUGUGAUAUUGGGCUUCUAACCAGCCGCCGUGAACCGGCGGUGGGACAAUGCCAGGCGGGGAGUUUGACUGGGGCGGUCGCCUCCGAAAGGGUAUCGGAGGCGCCCAAAGGUUCCCUCAGAAUGGACGGAAACCAUUCGAAGAGUGCAAAGGCAGAAGGGAGCUUGACUGCGACACCGACGG